GUACACGCUGUGUCUAGCAUAUCAAUAAGCGGAGGAAAAGAAACUAACAAGGAUUCCCCUAGUAACGGCGAGUGAAGCGGGAAGAGCUCAAAUUUGAAAUCUUAAAGGGUUUCCCUUUACGAAUUGUAGUUUAAAGAAGUGUUUUCUGUUGAGGUUUUGGUAAAAGUUCUUUGGGAUAGGACAUCAUAGAGGGUGAGAAUCCCGUAUUUGACCUUUACUUUCAACUUUGUGAUACACUUUCAAAGAGUCGGAUUGUUUGGGAAUGCAGUCCAAAAUGGGUGGUAAAUUUCAUCUAAAGCUAAAUAUUGGCGAGAGACCGAUAGCGAACAAGUACCGUGAGGGAAAGAUGAAAAGAACUUUGAAAAGAGAGUUAAACAGUACGUGAAAUUGUCAAAAGGGAAGCGUUUGACACCAGUGUUGUUUUUCUGAAAAUCAAUUAAAGAACUGUUUAUGCUAAGUUGUUUAGACUUUAUCAGCUAACUGUUUAGUUUUGAGCUUUUCUUUAAUGCACUUUUCAGUUAACAAGUCAACAUCAAUUUCUUUUGCUGUAAAAAAGCUUGAGGAAGGUGGCUUGAGAUUCGUCUUAAGUGUUUAUAGCCUCUUGCCUAUGCAGUCGGAGAGAUUGAGGUCUGCAGCGUAGAUCCUUCGGGGCUAAAUGCAUUUGUGCUAAGUUAUAGCAUUUUAUAGACAACUUGUUGACUAUGAUUUGUCUUGUAGCUUACUCGCUUAUGUUAUUUUACCUACGCUUAGGAUGUUGAAGUCAUCGUAUCGCGC
rnacentral:rRNA from 1 species